rnacentral:lncRNA from 10 species
GCUGAGAACAUCCCAGCUGUCCUCUCCGCACCCUCUGUGAGACCUUGGGCAGGCCCUUCACCUCUCUGAGCCUGGCCAUUUCAUCUGUGAAAUACUGAUAACACUUUUGACCUGUGAGGUCAAAGGGUGACUGUGAGGAGUGAAGAAGGCAGAGGAAGCCGAUGAAACCUGGUACCUAAGAGAUGCCCCUGGUAUCAGCCAGAGGUUCCAGGACACCCACUUCCAAUCCCAGACACUCCACUUGGCUGCCAGAGAUAACUUUCUAAAAUGAAAGGCGGCCCUUGACCCUCCCUGUCCAGAGCCUUGAAUAGACACUUUGGGAAAGAGGAUGUCCAAAUGGCUAGGAAGCAUAUGAAAAGGUGUUUAACCUACUCGUCUUUGGGGAAAUAAAAAUUCCAACGGCACCACUCCACAUCCACCAGAAUCGCUGAAAUGGAAAAGACGGAAAAUACCAAAUGUUGGUGAGGGUUUGGAGCUCCUGAAACUUCCACCAAGUAGCUACAGUAGGGAAUGUAAAUUGCUACUAUCAUUUUGGAAGAAACAUUUGACAGUAUCUGCUAGAGCUGAACCCGCAUCUCGUGUGAUGCAGCAACUCCACUCCUUGGCAUAAACCCCCUAGAAAUGUGUACAUGUGUUUUUCCAAAGACACGUGCAAGAAUCUUCAUGGCAGCGCUUCUCCCAAGAGUCUAAAGCUGAAAACAACCCAAGUGGCUAUCAACACUAGAACUGCAUUUUGGUCUAGUCCCACGAUGAGAUUUACUCCAGCAAUGAGAAUGAAUGACAACCACAUGCAACAACUCAAGAGACUCUCCAACGUCGCUGAGCAGGGGUCCAACACGGCGUGAUUUCAUUUAUAUGAAGUUCAAAAACAGCCAAUGAAUCUAUGAAAUUAGAAGUCGGGGCCGGGCGCGGUGGCUCACGCCUGUAAUCCCAGCACUUUGGGAGGCUGAGGUGGGCCGAUCAUGAGAUCAAGAGAUUGAGACCAUCCUGGCCAACCAACAUGGUGAAACCCCAUCUCUACUAAAAAUACAAAAUUAGCUGGGCAUAGUGGCGCAUGCCUGUAGUCCCAGCUACUUGGGAGGCUGAGGCAGGAGAAUCGCUUGAACCCGGGAGACAGAGGUUGCAGUGAACCGAGAUCGCAUCACUACACUCCAGC